UUAAUUUCAACACAGCGAUAAGAUGUGUCAGAAACAACUACAAUUCUCUCUACGUCUAAGAGUUUGGAUCUAGUUUGGAUUUCCAAAAGAAAGUCAAAUUCCGUAAGGUUAACAAAGAAAGGUCGUUAUUUUGGCAAAGACGUACCAUUCAGUUGCUGCAAGUGGGGCAUGUUUCGUCCAUGCGUUGAUACCAGAAUCGAGGACAGCCAAUAUCAUUCCAAAUACAAAUAUCCCACAGAUUUAACUUUACAUACAACUGGAUGUCAAGAAGCCCUGGCUAAUUUCUUAGGGCACAAGAUAUUUGCAGGAGUUGGAAUUUUUGUACUCAUUUCUUUUUUCUUACUGGCUCUUCUAACAACUUUGGCCAGAUACAUGCAUACUUCUUUGAGUCAAAUGUCCAUCGGAAGAAAGCCAAUAGGAUGGCUUAUUCCGUACUCUAAAUCAUCAAAAACUCCUAAAACGAGUAAACUGGUGAAAAGCGAAGAAAGUGAAGAUUCAGACUGAUAAUUAAAAUUCAGGAGUUUUGUAAUUUAUACUUCUUACUGCAAUGCUCAUAUCUAUCACAUGUUUUUCAUAAUUUGCGAAAGUGAAAAUAAGUCUU